rnacentral:rRNA from 1 species
GACGAACGCUGGCGGCGUGCUUAACACAUGCAAGUCGAACGGAAAGGCCCUGCUUUUGUGGGGUGCUCGAGUGGCGAACGGGUGAGUAACACGUGAGUAACCUGCCCUUGACUUUGGGAUAACUUCAGGAAACUGGGGCUAAUACCGGAUAGGAGCUCCUGCUGCAUGGUGGGGGUUGGAAAGUUUCGGCGGUUGGGGAUGGACUCGCGGCUUAUCAGCUUGUUGGUGGGGUAGUGGCUUACCAAGGCUUUGACGGGUAGCCGGCCUGAGAGGGCGACCGGCCACAUUGGGACUGAGAUACGGCCCAGACUCCUACGGGAGGCAGCAGUGGGGAAUAUUGCACAAUGGGCGGAAGCCUGAUGCAGCAACGCCGCGUGCGGGAUGACGGCCUUCGGGUUGUAAACCGCUUUCGCCUGUGACGAAGCGUGAGUGACGGUAAUGGGUAAAGAAGCACCGGCUAACUACGUG